AUUUAUAUAGUUUAAUAAAAACAAUACAUUUUCAUUGUAUAAAUAAUACCUAUAUUUAUAAAUA
rnacentral:tRNA from 1 species